UGUCAUAGUUCAUUACGUGCUGGGACCAAAGGUGGCCUCUACAUGUAAGCUAUCGCGUUGGGAUGGGCCCAGUUAGGAUUAGCUAGUUGGUAAGGUAAUGGCUUACCAAGGCAACGAUCCUUAGCUGGUUUGAGAGGAUGAUCAGCCACACUGGGACUGAGACACGGCCCAGACUCCUACGGGAGGCAGCAGUGGGGAAUAUUGCACAAUGGGGGAGACCCUGAUGCAGCCAUGCCGCGUGUGUGAAGAAGGCCUUCGGGUUGUAAAGCACUUUCAGCAGUGAGGAAGGUAAUGUACUUAAUACGUGCAUUGCUUGACGUUAGCUGCAGAAGAAGCACCGGCUAACUCCGUGCCAGCAGCCGCGGUAAUACGGAGGGUGCGAGCGUUAAUCGGAAUUACUGGGCGUAAAGCGCAUGCAGGCGGUUUGUUAAGUCAGAUGUGAAAGCCCGGGGCUCAACCUCGGAACCGCAUUUGAAACUGGCAGGCUAGAGUCUUGUAGAGGGGGGUAGAAUUUCAGGUGUAGCGGUGAAAUGCGUAGAGAUCUGAAGGAAUACCAGUGGCGAAGGCGGCCCCCUGGACAAAGACUGACGCUCAGAUGCGAAAGCGUGGGUAGCAAACAG
rnacentral:rRNA from 1 species